GGGGAGCUGGCGAGGUCUCAGGAGGUGUCGCUCAGCUCUCUCCCUCCUCUCCUUCUCCAUCCUCUCCCUCCUCCUCCUCUGCUCCUCCUCCCUCUUCCUCCUCCUCUGCUCCUCCUCCCUCUUCUUCCUGCACUGCUCUCGGGGAGUCGGAGGGUCGAGGGAGCACCUCCCUCUCAGAGACCGGGAGUCUCGCUGCUCUGUGGGACAACGAGACAAAUACAGACGUAUAGAGACAGACGGGGCUCGACGAUGAUUCUUCUGUGAAUUAAACGUUUCAGCAAAGAGUUUGUGUUAUUCUAAAUUUUGACGACUUUUGACACUUUUUUUACUGCAGACAAAUAUCAGUUAUCUCUUAGAUUAGUAAUAAUUGAUAUUGGCAUCGGCCCGAAAAAGCCAUAUCGGAUCGGUCGACCCCUAAACCCAAAGGCCGCCAGAAGACGAGCACCUGUUGUCCGACUGAAUACAUUUGUUUUCUUUCCAUCAGCAACAGUCCUGUGACUGGCGGAAAGACAGGAAGUGAAAUGACGAGUAUCAGACGACAUCUUCUCUCGUCCAUUUGCCAAGAAGGCCAUGUUGCUUGGCAACGCUGCUGAACCUGAAAUGAAAGACGAAAUAUCUCGAUUGAAUUAUGCUCAACAUUUACCAACAAGGACUGAGAAUAUGACUACAUCCAUGUCUGUUAUGUCUGAGCUAGUGUUUCACCUCUCAAACAGAGGAAAGACAAGAAAUCCUCUGUCUUGGGUCGACGCCGGGUCAGACACGUGACCACGGCCACGCUGGGGCCGCGCCGCGUUGAUGACAUCAGGGCUGCUGGUCCUGGAGAGCUGGGAGGAGACUGGGCAAACUUCCUCUGUGCCUGCAGCCUUGUGAGUGUUGGCGAGACGUCGGCGCUGGGGGCGGGUCUCUACGGACCAACCCCUGCUGGGACUCGCCGACAGGAGCGGCUGACAGCGGCUCAGGCCGUUGACCCGGGGGCCUUCAAGAGAAGGAGUCAUGUUGAAAGCUCUACGGAGGAGAGGAGUAACGGUUACUGACCGCCGAGGCCCAUGGGAGCGCGUGACCUCAGGGUUCUGGGCGUGGCGAGGUCACUCAUCAUCAUCCGUGUGUUUCCAGAAGCAGCAGCGCAG